rnacentral:rRNA from 1 species
AACGGCUGGCGGCGUGCCUAACACAUGCAAGUCAACUUGACGGAAGGAGCAAUCUGACCGUAGAGUGGCGCAAGGGUGCGUAACGCGUAAGUAACUUGCCCCAAGGUAAGGAAUAACGUCGAGAAAUCGGCGCUAAUACCUCAUAAUGCAGCGGAUCCGCAUGGAUAUGUUGUUAAAGGUUUACCGCCUUGGGAUAGGCUUGCGUCUGAUUAGCUAGUUGGUGUGGUAACGGCACACCAAGGCUACGAUCAGUAACUGGUCUGAGAGGAUGAUCAGUCACACUGGAACUGAGACGCGGUCCAGACUCCUACGGGAGGCAGCAGUGAGGAAUAUUGGGCAAUGCUCGAAAGAGUGACCCAGCAACGCCGCGUGGAGGAUGAAGGUAUUCUAUAUCGUAAACUCCUGUGAGAGCAGACGAAAGACAGAUUAUUAAUCUGGAUGACUGUAUGCUCAGAGGAAGCCCCGGCUAACUACGUG